GACGAACGCUGGCGGCGUGCCUAAUACAUGCAAGUAGAACGCUGAAGGAGGAGCUUGCUUCUCUGGAUGAGUUGCGAACGGGUGAGUAACGCGUAGGUAACCUGCCUGGUAGCGGGGGAUAUCUAUUGGAAACGAUAGCUAAUACCGCAUAAGAGUAGAUGUUGCAUGACAUUUGCUUAAAAGGUGCAAUUGCAUCACUACCAGAUGGACCUGCGUUGUAUUAGCUAGUUGGUGGGGUAACGGCUUACCAAGGCGACGAUACAUAGCCGACCUGAGAGGGUGAUCGGCCACACUGGGACUGAGACACGGCCCAGACUCCUACGGGAGGCAGCAGUAGGGAAUCUUCGGCAAUGGACGGAAGUCUGACCGAGCAACGCCGCGUGAGUGAAGAAGGUUUUCGGAUCGUAAAGCUCUGUUGUAAGAGAAGAACGAGUGUGAGAGUGGAAAGUUCACACUGUGACGGUAUCUUACCAGAAAGGGACGGCUAACUACGUG
rnacentral:rRNA from 1 species